AGAGUUUGAUUCUGGCUCAGGACGAACGCUGGCGGCGUGCCUAAUACAUGCAAGUCGAGCGAGCUUGCCUAGAUGAUUUUAGUGCUUGCACUAAAUGAAACUAGAUACAAGCGAGCGGCGGACGGGUGAGUAACACGUGGGUAACCUGCCCAAGAGACUGGGAUAACACCUGGAAACAGAUGCUAAUACCGGAUAACAACACUAGACGCAUGUCUAGAGUUUGAAAGAUGGUUCUGCUAUCACUCUUGGAUGGACCUGCGGUGCAUUAGCUAGUUGGUAAGGUAACGGCUUACCAAGGCAAUGAUGCAUAGCCGAGUUGAGAGACUGAUCGGCCACAUUGGGACUGAGACACGGCCCAAACUCCUACGGGAGGCAGCAGUAGGGAAUCUUCCACAAUGGACGAAAGUCUGAUGGAGCAACGCCGCGUGAGUGAAGAAGGGUUUCGGCUCGUAAAGCUCUGUUGGUAGUGAAGAAAGAUAGAGGUAGUAACUGGCCUUUAUUUGACGGUAAUUACUUAGAAAGUCACGGCUAACUACGUGCCAGCAGCCGCGGUAAUACGUAGGUGGCAAGCGUUGUCCGGAUUUAUUGGGCGUAAAGCGAGUGCAGGCCGGUUCAA
rnacentral:rRNA from 1 species